AUGAAGCAUGGGAUCCUAGAUGAAUCCGACCCGUGUUGGAAACAGCCAAAUUUAUACCCAAACCCGCCAGCCCGCUUCCAACACCGUCCUCUAACCGAACUCUGUCCCCAACCAAACCCCAAUAGGAGGCCCCUCCUCCCCUCUCACCUCGCCAACACCGGUACCGGCGACGCGCCGCCGCUUCCUCCUCCGUUUGCUUCUCUCUCGAGGAUUUCUCAGCACCAGGCAUCUUCAACCAGCCAUGUAUCGAGGACCAAAUCCCAUCAAGGCCACCGGAAUUGGGACAAUGGCAUUGGACAUCCAAGAUCAUAUUGGCAGAAAUUGGUGUUUGGUGGGGAUUGGCCUGAUGCUCCUACAAUUGAUUGGUCCGGUAGAUGUGUCCUCUUCUGCUUCUGCCCUAAAUUGAACAAAUCCUGUAUGUUCAUCUUUGGUAGGGUGAUUUUGGCACUGUUUAUAUUAUGUUCUGGUGGUUGUAAAGGUGAAAUUAUAAUUCAUCUCAUUGCAGUAAAAGCAUUGGCAUUUCUUCUUA